UCCUACGGGAGGCAGCAGUGGGGAAUAUUGCACAAUGGGCGGAAGCCUGAUGCAGCAACGCCGCGUGCGGGAUGACGGCCUUCGGGUUGUAAACCGCUUUCGCCUGUGACGAAGCGUGAGUGACGGUAAUGGGUAAAGAAGCACCGGCUAACUACGUGCCAGCAGCCGCGGUGAUACGUAGGGUGCGAGCGUUGUCCGGAUUUAUUGGGCGUAAAGGGCUCGUAGGUGGUUGAUCGCGUCGGAAGUGUAAUCUUGGGGCUUAACCCUGAGCGUGCUUUCGAUACGGGUUGACUUGAGGAAGGUAGGGGAGAAUGGAAUUCCUGGUGGAGCGGUGGAAUGCGCAGAUAUCAGGAGGAACACCAGUGGCGAAGGCGGUUCUCUGGGCCUUUCCUGACGCUGAGGAGCGAAAGCGUGGGGAGCGAACAGGCUUAGAUACCCUGGUAGUCCACGCUGUAAACGGUGGGUACUAGGUGUGGGGUCCAUUCCACGGGUUCCGCGCCGUAGCUAACGCUUUAAGUACCCCGCCUGGGGAGUACGGCCGCAAGGCUAAAACUCAAAGGAAUUGACGG
rnacentral:rRNA from 1 species